GGGAAUUAUUUUCAUGUUGGUAGAAAUGAAAAUAUUUUUUUUUUGUUAUUUUGAGUUGGCAUUACAGCUCAUUGCAAAUGGCGUCGUCGGAGAGAGAAGAACCAUAUUUCGUUAUAGGAAAUCGAAUCUUGUAGUUUUUCUUUAAUCAAAACGAUUAUUAUGAAUAUUUUUUGAUAAUUAAGUAUUGUUUUCUAUAAAUAUUCGGAAAAUUAUAAAAGUUUCGUGGCAGGCAAGAAAAAAAUGAAUAUAUUUCGAUAAAAUUUUUUUUGACACGGGAACCUAACCUAAAAAUUUUAGCAUCAAAAUGUUAAACAAAGAAAUGUAGAGCUAAAAGAUGGAAUAAAGUUAUCUUAGGAAAAAAAGGACAAAAAUAUGUUGAAUACUAAAACAAUGUCAAUCCCUUGGGCGCCAAUUCUUCUCAACUCAGAAUUCACACUUGGAGGAGAAUACGAUAAAAUUCUUAUCCAUAGACGAGAUGCCAAAAAAGAAACUUUUACUAAAUCUUUAAAUAAGUGUUCAAAACGUGAAGGAUGGGUGUUUGUUGCGGAGCUGCUCCUGGAGGAGAUCUUGCAUUGCUGAGUCGCAGUUCAAUACAGUUGGUCCAGUAGCAGAAAGAUUUGAGCUUUUAAAGAGAAGCUAUGCUGUCAUCGUAUCUUAUAUACAACGCAAAAAUGACCCCUUAUAGGUCCAGAGAAGGAAGUCCUUUUAUAAAAAGGAUAUGGUGUCAUCGUAUCUCUAACACUGCGCAGAAAUCCCCUCAUAUAGCUCCAUUCUAAUUUUCCAAAUACCUGAAGAUGACUGGGAAGGAUGUGGAAGAAGAAAAGUGGCCCCUGCAACAUCUUUUUUUUAUACAAUUUUUUUUUUCAUUUUUUAUUAUUUUUUUUAUAAUAUUUUUUUUUGAACUCCCGGCCUCACGCAGAAGUGCGUGCAAGAAAGAGGGAUCUUCGGGAGUUGGCCCAGAAGCGCUCGAGAGUGGCAAUGACGUUAUUGUCCCGACGAGGGAUGAUUCGCCGAUCGGUGAGUCAUUUUUUAUUUAACCCCUUCCCUGUUUAAAACAGUUAUUUUUUUAAAAAAAAUUCAAUUAAAAUUGAUUUAUAAAUUGAAAAUUAAUUUUUUUAUAUAUAUUCUUAAUUUUUUUGAAACUUUCUUGACUUUUUAAAAGAAUUUAAUGUAUUUAUAGAAACGUUUGAAGAAAAGUAGACAUAUACUGCGGGCUUAAUUGUUAAAUAUAUAUCAUAUUAAAAAUUAAAAAAAAAAAAACAGGGAAGGAAUUAUGACAACAUAGUGACACCAUUGACAAAAUUUAUUAUUUUCUGGUAUUUUUUAGGAGUAAAAAUCUAAAAAAAAAAACAUGUGAUAUUUUCGGAAAUUUAACCCCUUAUUUGUAACACUCCCCAGAUCCUAAAGUAUUACAUGUUUUGUGGAUAAUACUACCUUAAUACUAAGUAAAUUAAUAUUUUUGUCAAUGUUUUUUUCAUUGUUUAUAUA